rnacentral:lncRNA from 1 species
AGAAAGUGUAAGAUGCAAGCAAUGUUGCAGUAGAGAUUUUCAUCAGAUUGGAGGUGAGGUUUAGUCUGCCUUAAUCUAAGAAAUGUUUUACAUGGAUGAUUUGCUAUAAAGAAUACAUCUAAAAACAUGCRGAUUUUAUAGAAAUUCUGCUUAUUCAUUCAGGAGCUAUUUUAUGAACCAAUCAUACAAUCUUUGCUUUGCAUUACAGUGUGAUAAAAGGAAAGUUACAUUUAUUUGAAGGAUGUUCUACUCAGGAUGCUGAAGAUUGUCUUCCAGGAAUCUACAGCUUUGCUCUUAUUACAUUGACGUGGCAGCAGUGCAAGGUCAAAGGAGAAAUACCCACUGGAAGGACACAUCAUACACUUACAGCACACUAUGACAAGGUUAUGCUGGUGCCGAAGGGAAUAAAGAGCCAGGGCUAA